CAACUUUAUUAGAAGAGACGCAUUUAUUAGAUAAAAAGCCAAUGCAUGCUUUUACAGUAUGGAAAUUGGUGAUUUAUAAUAACUUGGCAAAUCGCAAAGUGAAAACAGGCGAUAAAUCAUUCAAGUUUCUGACCUAUCAGCUUUCGACGGUAUGGUAUUGGCUUACCGUGGCAGUGACGGUUAACGGGGGAUUAGGGUUCGAUUCCGGAGAGGGAGCCUGAGAAACGGCUACCACAUCUAAGGAAGGCAGCAGGCGCGCAAAUUACCCAAUUCUAACAGUUUGAGAGAGGUAGUAACAAGAAAUAACAAUACAAGGCAAUUAAAAUGUUUUGUAAUUGGAAUGAUAGAAAUUUAAACCCUUUUUAAAGUAUCAAUUGGAGGGCAAGUCUGGUGCCAGCAGCCGCGGUAAUUCCAGCUCCAAUAGCGUAUAUUAAAAUUGUUGCAGUUAAAAAGCUCGUAGUUGAAGUUCUGCUAAAAGUAACCGGUCUGCUUUUAAUAAAAGUGGUAUCUUGGUGUGUAUUUAGCAAUGAUGUCCUUUGAAGUGUUUUUUACUUUAUUGUAAUAAAGCAUAUUCAGGACUUUUACUUUGAGAAAAUUAGAGUGUUUCUAGCAGGCCGACGCUUUGAAUACUGCAGC
rnacentral:rRNA from 1 species